UGUUUCUCUGAUGUCCGCAAUGCAGCCCUAGCCCUGUUCAUCCAGUAUCAGUGUUUUCAUGAGUACUAAGGCUGACUUAUGAACUUUUGUGGACGUGAGAUGGGGAUUAAUGUCUAGUAAAGCUACAAGAUCAGCCAUGCUGAGGACAUUUGGAUGCAGCCUUCUCACCCAUUCAAGCAGAAGAUUAAUGCUAUCAGUUUUGACAAUGCCAGUACUAUGGGUUGUUCUCAAGUUAUCAAAUUCAGUGUCAGAAAUACAAACAUGAACAUCUGUCAGUCUUGAUUUUGUAGCAUUUCGUUGAAUUUUGCCUGCACUUUCAUACUAUCCUUUUUUCUUCAGCUGCAAAACUUGGCAGAAAGAAGGGUUAGCCUAGAAACGAGUAUACAUUUUAACACGUUUUUUCUAGAGUAUGCACUGAUUAACUUUCACUAAAACUAAAACUAAAACAUGUUUGCAUGUACAGUAGUGCACAUUUCAUUCAUUUACGAUUUAAAAUGCAGGUACUGUUUUCCACAGACUUUGUCUCAGCCUCACAGUCAUUUGAAUUCUUGAAACAAAGUACAUUUCAUUUUGCAAGGAGUCUUGAGAGGUGUGAAAGGGCUGUUUUCCUCAAGACUGUCAAAUAUAAGAAAAUUAUUUUCCAAUCUCUUGUUAGAAUUCAUGUGCAAAAAAAUUCUGUCUUGAGAGAUGUGUGGGUAUCUUUCCUUCUCCCCCUCUUUCACUCACACCCAUGUAUACACAUGUAGCUUUUGCUGCAAAUGUUUGCUCCAUUGGCAUUUCUCUUCUCUUUUCAAGUUGUUCCAGUGGUCUAAUUUCUAAUGGCAUACUAACACCUCCUCCUGCAAAAUGAAGAUUGCAUAAUGGAAAACUCUUCUCUCUUUUUUUUCCAUCAAAGGGAUUGUUAAAAUAUGAACAAAAAGCUUCCUCUUUUUUGACCUUGCAAAUGUACAAUUACAUUUAUCAGCUUUGGACCAUCUCCCUCUGAAGGCUUCAGGUUGAGCUACUGAAGCAGAGCGUACUAGCAAGUACUAAAAGGAGGUAUUAGAAAGACUCUAAUGAAUUCUGAGUACGCAGCACUGCUUAGUGCCUAAAGAAACCAUCCCACCUUUUAAAACAACCUAUCAAUCCAAGAUGGUGCAGUAGCACCCACCCAAAGUGCCCAUCAAACAUCAAAUCAAUUCCACAGGCCUGAGCUCAUGAUGAGGUGAUACCUGGAGAAAGCUCAAGAUCUGGAAGAAAAAAAAGUAAUUGCAGUAAUCAAUAUUCAGCCCCAGGAGUGAAAACCCAAGGAGAAGGUGAUAGAUGUGCUUGAGAAACAAACAUGGCCCCCAUGGUGGGAGCAGCCUAAUGCCCUUGCACAUGAAUCACUGAUGCUCAUGCCUGUCUUUCAUCUCAUAGCAAUCUACGUGUGUGUGUGUGUGUGUAGUACCAAGCUAUCAACUAGAAUAACAGUUGGGGUUUUUUCAACUGUUAUUCCUAACAUUUGAGUGAAUCAGGUGAUAUAUGUGUCAUGAAAGAGCAGUUGUUGAUAGCUUUUAUUCCUGUAUGCUUAGACUGCCAGGAAAUGGAAAGAAGAUGCUCCUGAGGUUUUCUGACUCGGGUGCCCAAAUAAGCUGGUUGGCUUUGGGUACUAUGCAACAAUUGUUGUGCUCCAUGAGAUGGCCAAUGUCUUGGGAUGGCUGACUGAAUCACAAGGUUUUAUCUACACAAUAUUUGUAGAUUUAGAAAUAGAUUUAAGAAGAGCAUAACCAUUCUCAAACACAAUUUGUAUCAACCCUCACCAGCAGAGCCAUUGCUGAGGAAACACAACAAUAUCGGAGGGUCACAAUCCCCAGCUCUGCUCUAAUGGCAAGGUCUCAAAGAUCUCACUAACUACAGAACAGCGCCUUAUCCAUGGAUUCAAUAUCCAUGGUUUCAUUCAUCCAUUCUUCAAAAAUAUCCCCCAGAAGAGUUUUUAGGCGUCUCUAGGUCCUUUGGUGUCAUAUGCUUCCAGAUCAAGUAUAGUCAAAAUAUAGGGUUCACUAUAUUCCAGGGUUUCAGGUAUCCAUGGAGGUAGUGCUAUCUUGAAACAUUAUUGUUGUUAGAACAUACCCCCUGCAGAUAUGGGGAUCUACUGUAUAUGCAGCAGAAACAAAGGUAGACAUUUGUUGUCAUUUACAGAAUUUGAUAUUCAAAAUUUGCUUUAGUUAAGUCUGAUCCUCUCAAAAGAAAAAAAUAAUAAUUCACCUAUUUUUGUCGUUCCUUAAGAGAAAAUUGUCUUAAGCAUGAAAUAUAAUUAAAUUGAAUGAGAUCAUCUAAGGGAGAGUUGAAAUAUACUUUUAGUCUUUCAGGAAAAGAGAGGCCUACAACUACAUCCAAUUAAAUGCACUUUCCAUUCCCCUUCAGACUUUCCCACUCAAUGGCUGGAAGCCAAAAUCCCCUCAGCUUAGUGCAAAUAUCCACAGGCAGAGACAUGUUGCACCAGCACUAUACAACCUGCAUGCAGAAAAGCAACAUUUCACAACACAUGUCAGUGGUGAUGUGCAGUGAUGUGCUCCAGUCAAUACACAACUACAAUGUAGUACGAUUUAUGCAAGCAUAUGUCAUUAACAGAAAGCAACUAAUAUGGGAAAGUCACCAGGUCUCUCCAUAAAUUCAGUUUAGGAACACUUGGAUGAGAUCAGCCCUUGCUUACCAGGUACUUUGCAAAUGUUUUGAAUGACGACUCUCAUAAUGCUUGACUACUGACCAUGCUAGUACUUAAGUGGAGUUAUAGUCAAAAAUAUCUGGCAGACAUGAGACUGGGAAUGGACGAAGUAGCUGUUCAGGCACAUUUGGGGGCCAAAUAAGUACGGAGUGCAGUACAGAGCUGCAUUAGCCUGCAUGUGUUCACACAAUGCGCACAAGCUGAUGCAAUUUAACCUGGGGUAAACUAGCUAAACUGACUGCAUCUUGGGAUUAAAAGAAUGGGAAAGAUCCAAAUUCUUCUCCAGGAUUCAGAUAUUUCAGUGUGUUAGGGGAGUAGGGAAUACCCAUCCCAGAAACCUACCGUAAGUGGGCUCUAGGAUUGUUUCCCCACACACAUCAAGUUUUCAGUCAUUUCCAUGGAAUAUUAUUAUCUAACCUGUUGAAGGAUUUACCAUCCUUGAUUACCCUUUAUACCAUUGUCCUGCAGGUUACACAAUCACCAUCCUUCUCAAGUGAUAUCUUAUACAUUCAAGCCCAAAUUUGCGUAAGUUACUCUUAGUAUGCUUAUCUUCUGUCUUGUUGUACCUGGAAACAUUUUGUUUGCCAUUUCACAGCCCCAGUCUGUAACUUGUUGCAUCCCUUGUUGAAAUAUCUAAUUUGGGAUAUUUGUAUAACAUCUUUUCAUCUGGUGUGUUUGGUCCUAAUAAAACGUUACUCAGACAGACCUCUUUUUCAGGAUCAUUUCUUAGGAGAGUUCCACAUCAAAGUCCCAUUCUAAAAAGUCAUCACUUUCUAACUUACCAUUUAUUGUCUUUAUUGUUGAGUUAGUUAAUGAUUCACAAUCAUAUAUGUAGAAAUUAAUGAUGGAGAUGGUAGC
ensembl:lncRNA